GACUUCGUGGUGUAAAGGUCAGCACACUCGGCGUUUAUUCAAGAGGUCCGUGGUUCGAGUCCCGGCGAGGGCA
rfam:Stegodyphus mimosarum contig92521, whole genome shotgun sequence.